rnacentral:rRNA from 1 species
UACGUAGGAGGCAAGCGUUUGUCCGGAAUUACUGGGCGUAAAGCGCGUGUAGGCGGUCUGAAUAGUCUGCUGUGAAAGCGCCUGGCUUAACCGGGCGAGGUCGGCGGAAACUCUCAGACUGGAGGCCGGUAGAGGGGGGUGGAAUUCCCGGUGUAGUGGUGAAAUGCGUAGAGAUCGGGAGGAACACCUGUGGCGAAGGCGGCCCCCUGGGCCGCGCCUGACGCUGAGACGCGAAGGCUAGGGGAGCGAACGGG